rnacentral:rRNA from 1 species
UACGGGGGGGGCAAGCGUUGUUCGGAAUUACUGGGCGUAAAGGGCUCGUAGGCGGCCAACUAAGUCAGACGUGAAAUCCCUCGGCUUAACCGGGGAACUGCGUCUGAUACUGGAUGGCUUGAGGUUGGGAGAGGGAUGCGGAAUUCCAGGUGUAGCGGUGAAAUGCGUAGAUAUCUGGAGGAACACCGGUGGCGAAGGCGGCAUCCUGGACCAAUUCUGACGCUGAGGAGCGAAAGCCAGGGGAGCAA